UGGUGAGCGGCGAACGGGUGAGUAACACGUAGGUGAUCUGCCCAUCAGACGGGGACAACGAUUGGAAACGAUCGCUAAUACCGGAUAGGACGAAAGUUUAAAGGUGCUUCUGGCACCGCUGAUGGAUGAGCCUGCGGCGCAUUAGCUAGUUGGUAGGGUAAAAGCCUACCAAGGCCACGAUCAGUAGCCGGCCUGAGAGGGUGGACGGCCACACUGGGACUGAGACACGGCCCAGACUCCUACGGGAGGCAGCAGUGGGGAAUAUUGCGCAAUGGGGGAAACCCCGACGCAGCGACGCCGCGUGAGCGAAGAAGGCCUUAGGGUCGUAAAGCUCUGUUUUAAGGGACGAAAAUUCACAGGAGUAACUGUCUGUGAAGUGACGGUACCUUAAGAGAAAGCCCCGGCUAACUACGUGCCAGCAGCCGCGGUAAGACGUAGGGGGCGAGCGUUGUCCGGAAUUACUGGGCGUAAAGAGCACGUAGGCGGGAUAACAAGUCAGGUGUGAAAGACCGUGGCUCAACCACGGGGUUGCAUUUGAAACUGUAAUUCUUGAGGGCAGGAGAGGAAAGUGGAAUUCCUGGUGUAGCGGUGAAAUGCGUAGAAAUCAGGAGGAACACCGGUGGCGAAGGCGACUUUCUGGACUGACCCUGACGCUGAGGUGCGAAAGCGUGGGUAGCAAACAGGAUUAGAUACCCUGGUAGUCCACGCUGUAAACGAGGGAUAAUAGGUGGGGGAGGUAUGGCCCCUUCCCGUGCCGCAGCAAACGCAAAAAAGUAUCCCGCCUGGGGAGUCGGGUGGCAAGGCUGAAAACUCAAAGGAAUGGACGGGGGCCCGCACAACCGGUGGGGCAGGUGGUUUAAUUGGAUGCAAGGGGAGGAACCUUACCAGGUCUUGACAUCCAAAGAACCUUUAGGAAACUAAGGGGUGCCUUAGGGAGCUUUGAGACAGGUGGUGCAUGGUUGUCGUCAGCUCGUGUCGUGAGAUGUUGGGUUAAGUCCCGCAACGAGCGCAACCCUUGCUAUUAGUUGCUAACAUUCAGUUGAGCACUCUAAUGGGACUGCCCGUGACAAGCGGGAGGAAGGUGGGGAUGACGUCAAAUCAUCAUGCCCUUUAUGAUCUGGGCUACACACGUGCUACAAUGGAUGGUACAGAGAGCAGCGAGACAGUGAUGUGGAGCGAAUCUCAAAAAGCCAUUCUCAGUUCGGAUUGCAGGCUGCAACUCGCCUGCAUGAAGUCGGAAUCGCUAGUAAUCGCGGAUCAGCAUGUCGCGGUGAAUGCGUUCCCGGGCCUUGCACUCACCGCCCGUC
rnacentral:rRNA from 1 species